rnacentral:rRNA from 1 species
UACGGAGGGAGCUAGCGUUGUUCGGAAUUAUUGGGCGUAAAGAGCUCGUAGGCGGCUCGGUAAGUCAGGUGUCAAAUCCUCAGGCUCAACCUGGGGCUCCACCUGAUACUGCUGUGGCUAGAGUCCGGUAGGGGAGCGUGGAAUUCCUGGUGUAGCGGUGAAAUGCGCAGAUAUCAGGAGGAACACCAGCGGCGAAGGCGGCGCUCUGGGCCGGAACUGACGCUGAGGAGCGAAAGCGUGGGUAGCAAACAGG